rnacentral:rRNA from 1 species
GAUGAACGCUGGCGGCGUGCCUAAUACAUGCAAGUCGAGCGAACAGAUGAGGAGCUUGCUCCUCUGACGUUAGCAGCGGACGGGUGAGUAACACGUGGAUAACCUACCUAUAAGACUGGGAUAACUUCGGGAAACCGGAGCUAAUACCGGAUAAUAUAUUGAACCGCAUGGUUCAAUAGUGAAAGACGGUUUUGCUGUCACUUAUAGAUGGAUCCGCGCCGCAUUAGCUAGUUGGUAAGGUAACGGCUUACCAAGGCAACGAUGCGUAGCCGACCUGAGAGGGUGAUCGGCCACACUGGAACUGAGACACGGUCCAGACUCCUACGGGAGGCAGCAGUAGGGAAUCUUCCGCAAUGGGCGAAAGCCUGACGGAGCAACGCCGCGUGAGUGAUGAAGGUCUUCGGAUCGUAAAACCCUGUUAUUAGGGAAGAACAAAUGUGUAAGUAACUAUGCACGUCUUGACGGUACCUAAUCAGAAAGCCACGGCUAACUACGUG